rnacentral:piRNA from 1 species
UCAGCAAGUGGAGCAGUAAUCCCAUGGU